UCCCUGAAGGACUAGUGGUUAGGCCUCGGCACUCUUACUGCCGCAGCCCGGGUUCGAUUCUCGGCCAGGGAA